rnacentral:rRNA from 1 species
UACGUAGGGGGCAAGCGUUGUCCGGAAUCAUUGGGCGUAAAGCGCGCGUAGGCGGCCCUGUAAGUCCGUUGUGAAAGUCGAAGGCUCAACCUUCGAAAGCCGAUGGAUACUGCAGGGCUAGAGUCCGGAAGAGGCGAGUGGAAUUCCUGGUGUAGCGGUGGAAUGCGCAGAUAUCGGGAGGAACACCGGUGGCGAAGGCGGUUCUCUGGGCCUGACCUGACGCUGAGGAGCGAAAGCGUGGGGAGCGAACAGG